AACUCUUAGCGGUGGAUCACUCGGCUCGUGCGUCGAUGAAGAACGCAGCCAGCUGCGAGAACUAAUGUGAAUUGCAGGACACAUUGAUCAUCGACAC
ensembl:rRNA 5_8S_rRNA 5.8S ribosomal RNA